AGCAACACCAAAUCCAGGGGCCCUGCUUCAGGAAGCAUCAGGACUAACUAGAUUUUAUUGGUCAAUAGAUGCAAACAACUGAUUUAGAGCAAACUUCCCCUCCAGUAAAUCAAGCUCCAAAUCAAACAAAGCUAGGGGUCAAAGCGCCUCCAUCCUGGUUGGUCCUGCUCCUAGGGCUGCCCAGCCCCCCAUUUCCCCAGCCCCCCAUCUCUCUAGUUUCUCUCAAGAAGCCAGCGCCACUCCCUGUAUGCACCUCUAGUGUAGGGUUAUCUGGAGCUUUAGGUUCAAAGGAAAGAGUGAGGUCUGCUGCUCCCUUCCUCCCUCCUACCCUGUUCCUCACCAACUCCUGGACGGUCCCCACCAUGGGGUUGAGAACUGGGGCUAUGCUGGGAUGUGUCCGUGACACUGAUCGUGGUGGCCAGAGAGACACCGAGGGAGACUGCUCUGCCACCAGAGAGCUGACAUGAGGAAGGAGCCCCAGACUAAAAACAGUGAGUCUCAGGAGACUUGGGAGGUGGCCGCAGGGAUAACCCAACCCUCCAAUUAACGUGCCUGAGCCAGUCUCCUCCUACGUCUGGAACUUUAGGAGAGCUGCCCACAGCAGAAUGACUCGGCAAGGAGAAGGGCUUGUCGGGUCUAGCUGGGAGCGGAGGUGGGCCAGGCUGCCAGAGGGAGGCUCUGGGUGGUGCCCUUAAGAGUCUCCGUCAUGAGCUGUUUUGCACUGUGAGCAUACCUCCAGAGAAGUGCCGAAAGCUUGCAUUCUUGCAGGUAAUACACCCAGCACCCAGAUCAAGAAACGGAACAUAAUCGGCACCCCAGAACCCCACCCUAAAUAUGUAAUUUUUAAAAAAGAUUUUAAUAAAUAUCUUUUAGCACGCCCUUUAUAUACAUGGUUUACUUUUAACUUUCUGACCCCCUUGCCCUCCUCCUAGAAUAGAAACCUCCCAACAACCAGGGAUUUCUUCUAGACACAGGCAGCUAGAACGAGGCCUGGCACAAAGCAGGUGCCAAAACUACCUGCUGAAUGGAUGAGAGUGCAGAGUGCACCCCAGGUGGUGAAGGCAUUGUUUCUGUGGCGUUCUUGUUUCAUCGUUGUAAAGUCCAUUUCUUUCUGUAGGUCACAGUCAAAACAUUGAGAGCCACGGCUACAACUUGAGCAA